rnacentral:rRNA from 1 species
UACAGAGGGUGCAAGCGUUGUUCGGAAUUACUGGGCGUAAAGGGCGCGUAGGCGGUACUUCAAGUCAGGCGUGAAAGCCCCGGGCUCAAUCUGGGAACCGCGCUUGAGACUGGAGAACUAGAGUUCGGGAGAGGAUGGUGGAAUUCCCAGUGUAGAGGUGAAAUUCGUAGAUAUUGGGAAGAACACCGAUGGCGAAGGCAGCCAUCUGGACCGACACUGACGCUGAGGCGCGAAAGCGUGGGGAGCAAACGGG